GAGAACCAAAUGAAUUGAAAGAUUCAUGUUUGGUUCGGGAAGAGAUCAUAAAAAUUGUAAACAUCAAAUAUACCUUUGUUCACUUUGC
rfam:Triticum aestivum genome assembly, contig: Triticum_aestivum_CS42_TGACv1_scaffold_404216_5BL